rnacentral:rRNA from 1 species
AUUGAACGCUGGCGGCAUGCUUUACACAUGCAAGUCGAACGGUAACAGGCCGCAAGGUGCUGACGAGUGGCGAACGGGUGAGUAAUGCAUCGGAACGUGCCCAGUCGUGGGGGAUAACGCAGCGAAAGCUGUGCUAAUACCGCAUACGAUCUGUGGAUGAAAGCGGGGGACCUUCGGGCCUCGCGCGAUUGGAGCGGCCGAUGUCAGAUUAGGUAGUUGGUGGGGUAAAGGCUCACCAAGCCGACGAUCUGUAGCUGGUCUGAGAGGACGACCAGCCACACUGGGACUGAGACACGGCCCAGACUCCUACGGGAGGCAGCAGUGGGGAAUUUUGGACAAUGGGCGCAAGCCUGAUCCAGCAAUGUCGCGUGCAGGAAGAAGGCCUUCGGGUUGUAAACUGCUUUUGUACGGAGCGAAAAGGCUCCCUCUAAUACAGGGGGCUCAUGACGGUACCGUAAGAAUAAGCACCGGCUAACUACGUGCCAGCCGCCGCAGUAAGAC